CAGAUCCAAUUAGGAGUGACUUUAUGGUAUACAGAGACACUGGUCUGAUGAAUUUCUAAUGUCAAACAUAUAUGCUUUACAGCAGCAUUUAUUGGUAGCUAGCACUACUCACAUCUAGUUCCAAAAGUCUGUCUCAGGUACUGCAAUUGGUGGAUGGAAUAAGGACUUGUUAUGGGAGUCUUUUGGAGUGUAGCAAGCAAUACCUAUGUACAAAUAGUUACAAGAUUUGAAGCUCCAAAACAGCAAGCCAGCGAGGAUGAUUAUCUCAUUCAUUUCCUGUAGUUGCUGACAAGUUGGUCCAAUGGACACUCACAUAGGAACAGAAAGAAGACUAUAUGCAAGUUUCUCAGGACCUAUGGAACAAAUAAGAGGUUGCAGGUGGAAGUUUCCUGGAUUGCAUCAUUACCAGUGAUGACAUGUGGUGUCACCCCUAAGAGCUGGAGUCAAAACAGUAGUCCAUGAAGUGCCAGCACGUGAAUUCCCAUCAAGAAAAAAAG
rnacentral:lncRNA from 1 species